GGGGGAGGGCGGGGUGCCUUACACAUGCAAGUCGCACGGGAUCCGAGGCGCUUGCGUCUCGGUGAGAGUGGCGAACGGGUGAGUAAUGCGUGACUAACCUGCCUCAUACACCGGAAUAGCUCCUGGAAACGGGUGGUAAUGCCGGAUGCUCCAACAUUCCUCAUGGUUUGUUGGGAAAGCGUUAGCGGUAUGGGAUGGGGUCGCGUCCUAUCAGCUUGUUGGUGGGGUGAAGGCCCACCAAGGCUUCGACGGGUAGCCGGCCUGAGAGGGCGACCGGCCACAUUGGGACUGAGAUACGGCCCAGACUCCUACGGGAGGCAGCAGUGGGGAAUAUUGCACAAUGGGCGAAAGCCUGAUGCAGCGACGCCGCGUGCGGGAUGAAGGCCUUCGGGUUGUAAACCGCUUUUGAUUGGGAGCAAGCGAGAGUGAGUGUACCUUUCGAAUAAGCACCGGCUAACUACGUGCCAGCAGCCGCGGUAAUACGUAGGGUGCAAGCGUUAUCCGGAAUUAUUGGGCGUAAAGAGCUCGUAGGCGGCUUGUCGCGUCUGGUGUGAAAGUCCAUCGCUUAACGGUGGAUCUGCGCCGGGUACGGGCAGGCUAGAGUGCGGUAGGGGAGAUUGGAAUUCCCGGUGUAACGGUGGAAUGUGUAGAUAUCGGGAAGAACACCAAUGGCGAAGGCAGAUCUCUGGGCCGUUACUGACGCUGAGGAGCGAAAGCAUGGGGAGCGAACAGGAUUAGAUACCCUGGUAGUCCAUGCCGUAAACGGUGGAUGCUGGAUGUGGGGCCCAUUCCACGGGU
rnacentral:rRNA from 1 species